UACGAAAGGGGCUAGCGUUAAUCGGAAUUACUGGGCGUAAAGCGCACGCAGGCGGUUGGAUAAGUUAGAUGUGAAAGCCCCGGGCUCAACCUGGGAAUUGCAUUUAAAACUGUCCAGCUAGAGUCUUGUAGAGGGGGGUAGAAUUCCAGGUGUAGCGGUGAAAUGCGUAGAGAUCUGGAGGAAUACCGGUGGCGAAGGCGGCCCCCUGGACAAAGACUGACGCUCAGGUGCGAAAGCGUGGGGAGCAAACAGG
rnacentral:rRNA from 1 species